ACCAUUCAUAAAAUCAGCAAUUUAAGGGCCUGCAUGCCACAAGCCUUGAUGGUGGAAAGGAUGUGUCUGAGGUGGGAGGAAAAGGCAUCCUGUGGUCCCUACUAAAGGGUGUGUUCACUGUGACAUUCAAAGGGAAGCAAAGUGCAAAGGGGCAAGAAAGCAGGUGUGCUGUAACACUAUGAUUCAUUUUCUUAGAAGAUUAAAAUUCAUGCAAGAGAAAAUCAGUGGUGAAGUUAUAGUACAGAAUCAUCAUUUGCAUCAUGACAAGAAUAUGGCAAGGUGAUUUCCAAUACAUGGAAUUAUCUGUAAAAUUAUGAAUAGCCUGACAUUUAUGGAUGAGUAAAUCUGAAAAUCCUUUUUGAUACAUACCCUGUGGCUAACACCAAUU